rnacentral:rRNA from 1 species
UAAUAUUAGAGUUUGAUUCUGGCUCAGGACGAACGCUGGCGGCGUGCUUAAUACAUGCAAGUCGAACGGAUAUGUAGCAAUACAUAUUAGUGGCGGACGGGUGAGUAACGCGUAACCAACCUGCCUUUUACAGGGGAAUAACACUUGGAAACAGGUGCUAAUACCGCAUAUGACCACAACGCGGCAUCGCGAAGGGGUAAAAGUUUUAUCGGUAAAAGAGGGGGUUGCGUAUCAUUAGCUUGUUGGUGAGGUAACGGCCCACCAAGGCGACGAUGAUUAACCGGCCUGAGAGGGUAAAUGGUCACACUGGAACUGAGACACG